UGACCUCGGAUCAGGUAGGGAUACCCGCUGAACUUAAGCAUAUCAAUAAGCGGAGGAAAAGAAACCAACAGGGAUUGCCUCAGUAACGGCGAGUGAAGCGGCAAGAGCUCAAAUUUGAAAGCUGGCCCCUUCGGGGUCCGCAUUGUAAUUUGCAGAGGAUGCUUCGGGAGCGGCCCCCAUCUAAGUGCCCUGGAACGGGCCGUCAUAGAGGGUGAGAAUCCCGUCUGGGAUGGGGUGCCCGCGCCCGUGUGAAGCUCCUUCGACGAGUCGAGUUGUUUGGGAAUGCAGCUCUAAAUGGGUGGUAAAUUUCAUCUAAAGCUAAAUACUGGCCGGAGACCGAUAGCGCACAAGUAGAGUGAUCGAAAGAUGAAAAGCACUUUGAAAAGAGAGUUAAACAGCACGUGAAAUUGUUGAAAGGGAAGCGCUUGCGACCAGACUCGCUCGCGGGGUUCAGCCGGCCUUCGGGCCGGUGUACUUCCCCGCGGGCGGGCCAGCGUCGGUUUGGGCGGCCGGUCAAAGGCCCUCGGAAUGUAACGCCCCCCGGGGCGUCUUAUAGCCGAGGGUGCCAUGCGGCCAGCCCGGACCGAGGAACGCGCUUCGGCUCGGACGCUGGCAUAAUGGUCGUAAGCGACC
rnacentral:rRNA from 1 species